rnacentral:rRNA from 1 species
AGUAAGCCGCCUGGUGGAUGGCUCGGCUCGGGUGCCGAGGAAGGGCGCAGCAAGCCGCGAAAGCGUCCGGGUAGCCGCAGGCAGGCGUUGAUCCGGAUGUGCCCGAAUGGGAAUCCUGCCAAGGGCGAACAGCCCUUGGCGCUCGCGGUGCCUUUGAGCACUGCGAGCGGGGACGCCCGGAAUUGAAGCAUCUCAGUACGGGCAGGAAGAGAAAUCAAUUGAGAUGCCGUGAGUACCGGCGAGGGAAAGCGGCAGAGCCCAAACCGAGCCCUAUCUGGUGACAGAUAGGGGAUGCGGGGUUUUGGGCCAGCCAUUAUGCUACUCUCUCGGGAAGCCGAAGUGGGCUGGAAUGCCCCGCCGUAGAGGGUGAUAGCCCCGUAGGCGUAACUGGGGGAGUAGCUGGCUGGUUCCAGAGUACUGCGGGGUGAAUACCCCGUAGGAAGUUGGGGGUUACUGGCCUCCAAGGCUAAAUACGCCCCGAGACCGAUAGCGAACUAAGUACCGUGAGGGAAAGCUGAAAAGUACCCAGGAAUGGGGGUGAAAAGAGCCUGAAACCAGGCGGCGAUAGUAGGCACAGCCCUUAAGCAGUGAACCCCCCGAAGGAAAGCACGGCAACGUGCAAGUACGAGGGGGUGGGAGCGGGGUUGUGCCGUCCGUCUUGAAACACGGGCCGGGGAGUCCACGGGUGUGGCGAGUCUAAGCGGGUGAACCGCGGAGGCGUAGCGAAAGCGAAAGCGCGCACCCCUCAUGGGGGAGGCGCUGGGUGUGAAAGCGCCCGUAGCCACGCCCGUGGGACCAGAAGCCGGGCGAUCUACUCCCGGGCAGGUCGAAGCCGGGUUUACGCCCGGUGGAGGACCGAAGGGGUGGUGAGGUGCAAAUCCCUCCUCUGACCCGGGAGUAGGGGCAAAAGACCAAUCAAGCCCGGCGAUAGCUGGUUCCCCCCGAAGCGGCCCGCAGGCCGGCCCACGGCCGGUGGAGUGCGCGGUAGAGUUACUGAUUGGGCAGAGGGGGCUUCGGCCUCCCUGUCCUAUCAAACUCCGAAUGCGCACUCACCAAGGGCCGUGGAGACGGGUCUGGGGGAAAAGCUCCCAGGCCGAAAGGGGAACAACCCAGACCGGGGUUAAGGCCCCUAAAUGCCGGCUAAGUGCCGAAAUCCAAAGGGCGUCACCAGCCUGAGACAGCGGGGAGGUAGGCUUGGAAGCAGCCAUCCUCUAAGGAGUGCGUAACAGCUCACCCGCCGAGGCUGGUGGCACCGAAAAUGGACGGGGCUCAAGCCGGCUGCCGAUACCCCGGCACGCCCCGCGGGAGCGGGGUGACUGGGUAGGGGGGCGCCCCUGCUGGGUAGAAGCUGGUCCGUGAGGACCAGUGGACCGGUAGGGGUUGCUGAUCCCGGCGGUAGUAGCAGCGAAGCCCGGUGAGAAUCCGGGCGGCCUCAAGGGCCAGGGUUUACCGGCAAUGCUUCGUCAGCCGGUAGUUAGCCCGUCCUAAGGCCGCACGCAACCCGUCGCGGCCGAAAGGGAAACCGGUUAAUAUUCCGGUGCCGUGCAGGUACGUGCGGCAACGCAAGCGGCACUCCCGACGCUUCUGGCUAGGCGGAGCGGCUGGGGUCUCCUUGGCCGUCCAACCGUUGAAGGCCGCUGAGAUCCGUAAUGGAGAGAAGCGGCUGAAGGCGGGACGGGGCGCCCACUUAAGGGUGCCUCCGCCGAUGCCAGGAGCCCUUGAAAAGGGAGUGCCGAAGGAUCCUGCACGUCGGUACCGAGAACCGACACAGGUGCCCCCGGGUGAGAAGCCCAAGGCCUCUCGGGGUUAACCCGGGCUAGGGAAAUCGGCAAACUGGCCCCGUACCUUCGGUAGAAGGGGUGCCUGCUGCCUUGGCCUCUAGGCUGGGGCGGCAGGUCGCAGUGACAAGUGGGACCCGACUGUUUAACAAAAACACAGGUCCCCGCUAGCCAGCAAUGGUGUGUACGGGGGCUGAAUCCUGGCCAAUGCCGUCACCCGAACCCCGGGAAACCGGGAUAAGGGUCGGUGAAAGCCGGGAGUAACUCUGACUCUCUUAAGGUAGCCAAAUGCCUUGCCGAUUAAAUGUCGGCGUGCAUGAAUGGAUCAACGAGGUCCCAGCUGUCCCAGCCCGGGCCCCGGUGAACCCACACCCUGGUGCAUAGUCCAGGGCCCCCCAGCGGGGAGAGAAGACCCUGUGAAGCUUUACUGCAGCCUGGCCUUGCGGUGGAGUGAGAGAUGCGUAGGGUAGGCGGGAGCAAUGUAGCAGCCCUUUCGGGGGCUGCGGAAGCGCCGAUGAAACACCGCCCUUCUCUCACUCUGCCGCUAACGCGUAAGCGGACAGGGCCAGGUGGGCAGUUUGGCUGGGGUGGUACGCCCCUGAAAAGAUAUCAGGGGCGUCCAAAGGCGGGCUCAGGUGGGUCAGAAACCCACCGUAGAGGACAAGGCCAAAAGCCCGCCUGACUGGACCCCUAAAAGCGUGGGGUCCAGGGGUGAAAGCCGGGCCUAGCGAACACCCGUGCCCCUCCCAGUAGGGGCCGGGUACGACAAAAAAGUUACUCCAGGGGUAACGGAGCUGUCGCGGGCGAGAGUCCACAUCGACCCCGCGGCUUGCUUCCCCGACGUCGGCACUCCUCAUCCUGGGGGUGCAGCAGCCCCCAAGGGCGGGGAUGUUCGCCCAUUAAAGAGGAACGUGAGCUGGGUUCAGAGCGUCGCGAGACAGCUCGGUUUCUACCUGCUGGGGGUGCAGGCCGCCUGAGGGGAAGGCGCCCUUAUUACGAAAGGAACGGGGCGCCGCGGCCUCUGGUGUACCGGUUGUCCCAAAAGGGCAGCGCCGGGCAGCUACGCCGCAGCUGAUAAGAGCUGAAAGCAUCUAAGCUCGAAGCAGCCCCCGAAAAUAGGCGGCCGGUCCAGCGCUCCUCGGAGCGCUGGGAGAGGGCCUGGGUAAAAGACCCGCUUGAUGGGGUGGGGGUGUAAGC